ACUACGGGCGGCAGCAGUGGGGAAUAUUGCACAAUGGGGGAAACCCUGAUGCAGCGACGCCGCGUGAGUGACGAAGUAUUUCGGUCUGUAAAGCUCUAUCAGCAGGGAAGAAAAUGACGGUACCUGAUGAAGAAGCCCCGGCUAACUACGUGCCAGCAGCCGCGGUCAUACGUAGGGGGCAAGCGUUAUCCGGAUUUACUGGGUGGAAAGGGAGCGUAGACGGCAGCACCAGUCUGGAGUGAAAUGCCGGGGCUUAACCCCGGAACUGCUUUGGAAACUGUGCAGCUAGAGUGCAGGAGAGGUAAGUGGAAUUCCUAGUGUAGCGGUGAAAUGCGUAGAUAUUAGGAGGAACACCAGUGGCGAAGGCGGCUUACUGGACUGUAACUGACGUGGAGGCUCGAAAGCGUGGGGAGCAAACAGGAUUAGAUACCCGUGUAGUC
rnacentral:rRNA from 1 species